rnacentral:lncRNA from 1 species
AUGGUAAUUACUCGAGCGGGAGGCGGGAAUCUGCGUGUUGUUGGUGCCCGAGGGAAGAGGUCAGUUACUCUAAGGUUUAUGUGUUGAAACGAUGCGUGUUGAGCGGUGCGUGAUUCACCUAGCAAGAAGAAUGAGUCCCCAGACGAGCAGCAGCAGCUCAAUGAACACAACCGAAGACGAAUCAGAAGUGACAUCAUGGCUAUUAUUUGCAUCCAGAGAUGUGAUUAACAAAAACAUAAAACCACAGGAGGAGGGAGGAAAUGCUACAUGCAAAAUUAUGUGCCAUGUAUAUCUGAUGAAAUGAUGAGUUGAAUGAUUUGGAAAGACUCAACGACUCUUCACCAGAUGUUAUUGAGGAACCUGGAGAACCCAUCAGGAAUGAAGUGGAACAUUUGUGGCCUCCUGCUCAUUUUAUCUGUCCCCUUCUGCAUAUCUGUAGGACCUUGGUCUAAGCCCUGUGAUAAAACUCACAACUACUUAUGUCCUAUUCCUGGCAGCACUUCAAAUGAAACUGGAAAUAUGGAUAUAUUAAUCCUGGGUAGAGAUGGUUUCAUGGGAUACUUGAAAACAGGGAACAAGUCCACUAUUCUGUGCAGUUCUAGUGGAUCGUCAGUAAACGCUACACAACAACUACUCAGCAUGACUGUUUUUUCAUUCGAAGAAAAUACAAACUGUACAAAAAACACUUUGCCAACAAACAGCAGCGACUAUGGAGUGAUUUUAUCAAGAUACUCACCAUACGAACUCCAUAUAAGCAGAUAUGCUAUACCCACAUUUGUUUGUUUAAUUGAAGGGAAAUGCAGAAAUGGCACUUUGACAGACUGGAUUACGGGAGGUGAAUGAAAGAUCUGUCGUUUUGCUUCUAUGCAUUUGGUAGCCUGUGA